GCGGGUGUGGCGAAAUUGGUAGACGCACCAGAUUUAGGUUCUGGCGCCGCGAGGCGUGGGGGUUCAAGUCCCUCCACCCGCA
rfam:Donghicola sp. KarMa genome assembly, contig: KarMA_contig50